UACGUAGGCAGCGAGCGUUGUUCGGAGUUACUGGGCGUAAAGAGCGCGCAGGCGGUCGGAUAAGUCGAAUGUGAAAGCCCCCGGCUCAACUGGGGAGGGUCAUUCGAUACUGUUCGACUCGAAGGCAGGAGAGGGAAGUGGAAUUCCCGGUGUAGUGGUGAAAUGCGUAGAUAUCGGGAGGAACACCAGUGGCGAAGGCGACUUCCUGGCCUGUUCUUGACGCUGAGGCGCGAAAGCUAGGGGAGCAAACGGG
rnacentral:rRNA from 1 species